rnacentral:rRNA from 1 species
GACAGAGGGUGCAACCGUUGUUCGGAAUUACUGGGCGUAAAGCGCGUGUAGGCGGCCAUCUAAGUCGGGCGUGAAAUCCCACGGCUCAACCGUGGAAGUGCACUCGAAACUGGAUGGCUAGAGUCCUGGAGAGGAAGGUGGAAUGCUUGGUGUAGAGGUGAAAUUCGUAGAUAUUGGGAAGAACACCGAUGGCGAAGGCAGCCAUCUGGACCGACACUGACGCUGAGGCGCGAAAGCGUGGGGAGCAAACGGG